rnacentral:rRNA from 1 species
GAUGAACGCUGGCGGCGUGCCUAAUACAUGCAAGUCGAGCGAACAGACGAGGAGCUUGCUCCUUUGACGUUAGCGGCGGACGGGUGAGUAACACGUGGAUAACCUACCUAUAAGACUGGGAUAACUUCGGGAAACCGGAGCUAAUACCGGAUAAUAUGUUGAACCGCAUGGUUCAACAGUGAAAGACGGUUUUGCUGUCACUUAUAGAUGGAUCCGCGCCGCAUUAGCUAGUUGGUAAGGUAACGGCUUACCAAGGCAACGAUGCGUAGCCGACCUGAGAGGGUGAUCGGCCACACUGGAACUGAGACACGGUCCAGACUCCUACGGGAGGCAGCAGUAGGGAAUCUUCCGCAAUGGGCGAAAGCCUGACGGAGCAACGCCGCGUGAGUGAAGAAGGUCUUCGGAUCGUAAAACUCUGUUAUUAGGGAAGAACAAAUGUGUAAGUAACUAUGCACGUCUUGACGGUACCUAAUCAGAAAGCCACGGCUAACUACGUG